CAGGACGAUGCCGAUGAUCACGCCUAUACGCCGGGAGUCUGUGGAGAGAAGUGGAGGCAGGUCAGGCUUUCUCACAGCCUGCUCCAGGCCAAGAGAACAACAGCUCAUUCCUGAGAUAAGGAUCCUGCUGCCAUCUGCCAGAUCCUGAGGCUGCUCAAGGCAAGCCAGGGAUGAGCCAGAACUCGGCUGAGAGCAGAGGCUCCACCCUGGAGAAGCACCGCUGGAAGCACCCACACAGGAAGGACUCUCUCCAUGCCAUAGGAGCCUGCCAGGCAGGAUGCACUAAGGAAGUACUACAGGGAAUGUGAGAGGAGAGGCUGGAGAGAGGGAAGAAAGGCAAAGUGGAAGAGAGAGCUGGAUGGGAGACUUGAGGAGAGACAGGAAUGGAGGAAUCACAUGGGCUCUCCAAGGAAGAGGACAGUGGUGAUUCUUUGCCCCCCAAAAGCACCAGAAACUGGCCAUGCUUUACGGGGUGUCAUCUCAAUAGUGGUGCCUACUCUCUGCUUGCAAAUUCUUUCUGAAUCUUCAAGGUGCUUCCAGAACUCCUGAUCUUCCCUCUGGAGGUAAGGGAGGGGAGAAAAGGCGGCUCCAGCUGAGGGUAUUGAUGCGUUAAUGCAGCCAGUGCUGAGUUGUCCUCACACACCCAUUGACACACCACACAGGGGGAAGUCCGGGUCCCCACAGCACAGCUGGAGCCUCCCGAGUGGACUCUGCCAGCCCUGCUCUCAUCAGACAGAGAAGGGCUGCAGCUAUCCUGCCGGAAAUGUCAUCAUUCCCAUGCAGGUGCACGCACCCACACACUCACAUACACAUUCACGCUCACACAAAGGCUGAAAAUGUCACCCCGCCUUCCCAAAUUCCUCCUUCAUGCCCCUUCAUCCCAAAUCCAGACUGCAAGAGGGACUCGGAGCCCUUUCCAGUGAUGUUGGCAUAGAAUGCCCCUUGGUGGAACUUGCCCCAACCUGGGCAGGAAGCCACAAUGUCCAAACUUGAGCCCUGCCCUGUGGACCUGUCCUGGUGGGGUGAGAAGUCUCUGGAGUUGCCAUCCCCACCACCCUCAGGCCUCAUCCUAGAGUGGGGCACUGCCCUGUCAUAGCACAGGGGGCCCAAGGCUGAGGUCUCAGGCCUGAGCUGUCACUGGCCAUGAUGGAAGAAACCACUCAGACUUACACCAGACUUAGUCUCUUGCCCUUUCAAGGCAAGUGACUUCCCUGCCCCUUGGCCCUGGCCUUGGGAGAGAAGGAGUAGCGUUGGGAAUAGCACACAGUCUGAUGAAAAUUGAUCCUUCCCAAGCUCCUCCUGAGCCCUCACCCAAUGCCCGUGCUUACCCCUCUCCUACCCCACCUCCAGCUCCUGCAGAGCAAUCAAUCCCUCUCCUCCUAGUCACGGCAUGAGCUUGCAGGGCACCUGCACACAUGUGUGAGCCCGACAGGGGACAUAUAAAGAUCCACUCAAAGACCUCUGCACUACAGACACACACCCUGAACAUCAGGCACAGGGUCUCCUGGGGAAAGGUCCCCUGGUAAUACCCACACCCGGCUGCAGCAGGGCAAGGGUGGGCAGCACCCUGCCAGGCAACUCAGGCAGCCCCAGGCUCCACUGUGAGCCCUUGCUGCCCCUUUCCUUCCCACCUAGCCUCAUGCUGGCUACCCUGCCCCCUGCCCAGCCCCGUACCUGGGCUCAGGCACACGAGUAGAAGGUGGAAUGCUCCUCCAACUCUCAUGUCUCUAGGCUCGGUGUUUCCUCCGUCUGGGCUGGGUAUCCCGUGGGGUCGUAGUGGUGGGUGUGAGGGGGUAGGUGGAGGGAGGGGGAGCUGAGGGCCCAGACACUGCCUGGGGUGGCAGGAAGGUGCAAUGAGUGCCCAGCUGGGGAGCAGCUGGAGUUAUUUCUAUGGGAGGGAGGGGGCCUGGUCCCCGCCUUGGGGAGGAGUCCCAGGAACCCUAAUUAGCAGGGUGACAGGGUGGCCUACCUGGGCAUUACCCAGCCCUCACCCAAGCUCUUCCCUGUCCUAAGAGUGGCACAGGACAGCCAGCGGGACUUGUAAUUAGGCACCUGUUAAACUUCACUUCCUCCUGGCCACAUCCUCAGGGUGACAACAGUCACCUCAUUUACAGCUUCCAAGGGCUCCCCUCACCACUCAUUUGCUGCCUCCUUCCCUGGGGGAAGUGGGGAAGAGGAAGGAGAAGCCAGGCUUGGGAGAAAGAGUGGCCAGGACCUGAAGAGUUAAUCCUGAUCCCAGGGCAUAGGGUUCCCCAGGAGUGUCCAGCCCACCUUCCCCCAGGCUUCAGGCCUUUCAAAGGGACUCAGGCCUCCUGAGCUGAAAGAGGAGAGAAGGGGUGUGUGCAGGAACAGAGUCUCCUCCUGGCUGUCCCCUCUGGAACUGUCCUCCACACCCAUACUCGACUCAAGGCCAUCCCCAAGUGUAGGGGACCCCUGGGAGCAGGGGUGCUAUGGGGGGUCCAGGGUGUGUGCUAGGAGUAAGGUGACUGAUGGGCUAGUGAGGGAGUGUUGGAGAGAACAGCGCCAAGAGGACCAGGGAAGGGGGUGCCUGUGUAAGCGUGUGCACCCCUCAGCAAUGUCUGUGGGAGGGAGGCAGGAUGUCUGUGUCAGGGUGUCUCUGUGAGGAUGGCUAAGCCCCUCUGAGUGAACUUCUUGAGGGAUCGCUUGGUGUCCUGGCUUCUCUGCCCAGAAAGAGUAGCCAGGUCUUGAGGGUUAAUGCAGUCCCAGUAUUAACUGGGUCCUUGAGACCAAGGACCCUCAUAACCUGGACUGGUCAUCGGGCUGACUAAACCAGCACAGUUCUGGGUAAGUUCGUGCUGGGGUGGGGAGGGUCCUGGUAGGCAUGGGGAGCAAGUGAAGGGCCACCCCUUGUUGGCUUGUCUAAGGGGGACAGAAUGGGCAUGUGCCUUGUUGGACUCCAUGGUGGGAGUCAGGACAUGAGUGACCCCAUUCAAUAGCUCAACUCCCUCAAAGGAGUCAGGGACUGCCCCCAUCCCUACCAUGGGGCACAGAAAGGGCAGAGGAGGAAGAGUGUUAGGGAGAGUUAUGGGGCUCAGGGAUGCUGCCAGGGCCCACCCCUCUGGGGAAAAAUAAGUCAGAACAUUAAGGAAACACAAGGAGUCCACGCGUCUCUGCAUUCCAAGCCGUUGCACCUGAACUCCCAACAAUAACAGGGCGCUCUGAGACCUACCAGAUGUACACAAUGAAUAUCUUUAUUUCCUUAUUUAUUUUUAGGUUUAUGGGAUUGUCCUGCUCCCUUUGAAGAGCAGGGAUCAUUAUCCCCAUUUUACAGAUGGGGAAACAGAGACCUGGAGAAACAUGGGGAUUCAGCCAAUGCGGCUGGUGCCUAAGCUGGGAUACCCAGGUACCCAGGGUGUCAGUCCAGAGAGGUCCAAAAAAUGGUCUUGGUGAUCCUGUGGAUUACUAGACCCACUCACGAACAAGAACCAUGGAAGGUCAGGGUGAGUGGGAGGGAAAACAGGUCAGACCACGAACAGAGAGAUUGAGGAGAAAGCAGUAACAUUGUGGUUCCACUAAACUACAGUGCAGGCUUCAGAUUUAAUUGGGUUCUGGAUGUGGGCUAAUGUUAGAGCUGGGGUUAAGUUUGGGGUUAGUUGAAUUAUGAAUGAGUUUGAGAUUCACAUUGAAAUAGGCUGUGGUUAGGGUUGGAACAUGGUUUAAAGACACGUAAGCAGCGGGAGUUGAUGGGGAUCAAAGAUGAGGUUUUAUUUCUAAUAUAGAAAGACUUCAGCCUCCAUCUGCUAAAUCCAGGUUUGGCUAGAAUUUUCAAUCCUUAGUGCGGGGAGACUACUAAUGGCACAUGUUGAUUGGGGUCCCAAGACUUGGAGGAGGAAGCCAAAUGUACACGAGCCCAUCUAAGGGGUAUGAGGCAACUAAAUCCCAUAGAGAAUGGACCCUCUGAAGUCCUGCUCCACUACUAAAGCUCACCACCUGGCCAAGCUCCAGAAAAACAUCUGGGGAGGAGACGCAGGAAGCUACUGACAAUGAGUUGGGCUCUGACACCAAACCGAACUAGAAGAUGGGGUCCAUCAGAGGGAGUCUUACUGAGUGGGGAGGAGGGGUGGUCUGGAUUUGGAGUCCUUAGGAGAUGGGAGUUGGGAGAAACUGAGGGCCUACAUGCUCCUAGAACAGCCACUUUAUGGGGCACCACAUGGGGGUCUUUCAAAGCCUGAAAGGGCAGAGUGCCAUUGUUGUUUCCCCUUGACCCUCUGAGGCUUAAUUGCUACCUUCUUGCAAUUUGAGUCCUAUAAAAGAAGCUGUCAGCCUUCCAGCCCUAAACCCUGAGCCCUGCAGGGUUUUCAGGGAGGGCAGCAGUGGGGAGGCUGUGGAUGGGGUGAAGGCACUGGGGUGUCAGCAUAGUUUCCAAAGCAUAUGUCACAGUCCUACAGUCCCCUCCCUCUGGGCCCAGCUCACAGUCCGUGUAAGUCUCUGGGCCUUAUCCUCAGCAGUGGAAGAGGGCCCCACUCCUAGGAAGACCCCGUCCCAAUUCCUCCCUCUCAUUUUUCCCCAACCAGUCUCCAGCCCAAACAUCUCAUUUCCCCACCCACUUCCUUUUCAGGUUUUAUAAAGGUCUGGUCCAGGAGACUACUGGGGUUCCCCCUGUGACCCCAGAGAGAGAGAAGAAAGAGAUUGGGAGAGAUAGUGAUGAGUUAAGGGGCAAAGACAGAGACAGGGACAGAGGCAGACAGAAAGACACAUGGUCUAAAUGGCCCCUCCAGAGACUCAGAGGGAUACAGAGGAGGCAGAGGGCCCAGGCCACGAGCUGGGAACCAAUACAAAUUUCCAAAAGGGCCCCUUGCUUUUUCCUAAGAAAUCCAUGACUCUCCAGGGAAGAAUGGCCCUGCUUUGACUGGUAUUUGCUUCUAUUCUAAGACAGUAACAGAAAAUCAAAGACUGGCUUAGAAAGGAGUAAACAGGGAGAUACAGGAGGUAGGAAGAGGCUGGACAAAAACUCAGAGAAGGCCACAGAUUGCUUACCAGAUGAAGUGCAGCCCAGCCCCAGAACCUUUCUGGGAAGGACGGACAGAGGGCUUGGGCUGCCUACUCUUCCUCCAAAGCCUAUUCUUCCUCCAAAGUCCCUUUCAUGGCAACUCCACCCCACUCCUCUAAGCCCUGCCCUCCCCUGCCUGUACUUGCCCACCCCAACCCCUCUCAGUGGCCGCCAGACUCCCUGGGCUCAGGCUCAAUCAAGCUCCCCACAACCCCUGCCUUGGCUGGCACUGCAAUUUGACUCAUUCUAAACUCCUCCCCACACAGUCAGCAAGCUCCUCAGCCCCCUCUCCCAAGUCCCCAUGUAGCCCAGGGCUCACCCUGCAGCACCCAGGGAGGAGCUGUCCUGCAGAGGAAACCUCUGAGGUAAGACUCUGGGAGCAGAAGCUGUGAGUGACAAUGGAUAGGCAAAGAGUCACAGAGAAGCCAAGGAGCCUUGCAGCUGCUGUCUGUCCACCCAGCUUUCAGUGAUGAUUUGGAGGUGGAGGUCUGCCAGGUGAGGCCAUGGUUGCAUGAGAAGGGCAGGGGGCUCAGAGGUUGCAUGGGUGGUGAUGGGACAACGUCGGAUUCUGGUUACAGAGAGGGAUGAGAUCGACAUGUGGGGCUAAGUUUGAGGGUGUGGGUUGGGUUCGAAACUAAGGCUCAAAUCAAAGCUGGCAGGGAAGAGCCGUGAACACAGGUGACACAGGGACUCCCCAAGCUCCUGCUUAGGUUUCCCAAACCUCAGUGGUUCUGACUGGUACACUUCAGAAGAAGUGGGAUUCUAGGAGGAGCCUGGAUAUGCCCACAUCUCUCCCAUCAAGCAAUGUCCUGAAGCUGACAGACUCAGAAGAGCAAGCAGCACACACAUAGUCCCCAUCAAUUAAAGGAGUGGCUGGAGUUGUCACUACAUCAACAAAGCACAAGAGCAAAGGGAGGCGAUUGAAUGCCACCAACUGAAUUGUUAGCAAGAGAAUGAGUGGAGGCGAGAAGAAAUCGCUUGUAAAGGCUAUGUGAUUCCCUGAUGACAGAUCUGAGGAAGAAUGAAGAGGCUUUGAAGAUAAAGGUAUCUUCACCUCGCCAAGAUCAACCACAUCCUGCAGAACCUUCAUUCAUUCAGCAAACAGCCAGGCUUUGUGCUAGGCCCUGGGGAAAUGGCAAUUAAGGAGACUCAGUCCCUAUCCUCACAGAACACCCCAUCUGACACGGAAAUAGCUCCUGGCCCGCAAUGUGGUAAGAUGCAGUAAUACGUGCAAGGCCCCUGACUUAGUGGCAAUGAUGUUUAAGCCGAGAUCUGAAGGAUAACUAACAACGGCGUGCCAGAGAAAAGAGUAGCGGGUGGAGAGAGGAGGCCAGGGGAAUAUUUCUGGGCUUGGUAAGUAAGCCAGGUCCCUGCCAGACAUGGACUGAGAAGAGCAAAGCCAGGAGUGACAGCUGACGAUUAUUUUUUAACUGAGGAAGGAAGAUCCUUGAGAACGGAACCUCUUGGGACCUUCUACCCAGAACACCAGAGCACCUCACUGGGAUCAGAGCCAGGCCAUCGGGUGGAUUAAGCAACUAAAAUUGAUUGUCCUGAACCAUGAGUCUGUCUGUUUAUGGGGAGAGAAACUUUGAGAUGAAUUAAUCCACAGGUCCAAUGGGACUUUGACAUUUUAAUUUGUAGAAAUAAAACUUGCCUUUGAUUUUGCCAUCUGGAUUCCCCAAACACGUAUCUACAGAGUGGAACUGUGGUGCCCCUUGACCUGCAGGGUGGCCCCAGGCCUGCCUUGCCCCGCUGGCAGUUGCCCAGGAAGGUGUGUAGGAG
rnacentral:lncRNA from 10 species